rnacentral:lncRNA from 1 species
CCAGGAAUUCACCUGCUUUUCCUAAACCCUCUUCUGUAUGAUAACUCAUCAAGGUGACCCUUAUCUACCUACUGACACAAGCUGAGAAGCAGCCGAGAAUCCGAAAACACAACCCUAUAAUGGAGGGUGGUGUUGAAUAGGAGGAUCAACGUACAUAUAUUCGUAUGAAACGUCAUAAUAAAGCGUUACGUGUAAUUACAAUGCACCGCCCCUCGCAAUAGAAAUGCUACAUUUUGGGGCAUCUCGAAAUGUUAAAAAGAAAAAUUGCCAACACUUGGUUUACAAAAUCCCACAGCCUAAAAUGAUGAGAGGAAAACGCCUCAUUGUCUAGAUGAUAAAAUCCCAUUUAUAAAAACCAUUCCACCAUCCCAUCCCCACCACGCUUCAAGGAGGCAAGAGCUACGGGAAUAAUAGUGUCACCAUCUGGGUGGAGCGGAGAACAACCUUUUCAUUCCAGAAGGCUUUGCACAAGCCAGACUUUCAAAGGGCGCGCGACUCGAGCGCACGCACGCGCACUGCGUGCCCCCGGCUUCAGCAUCCACAGAAAUAACCCGCAAGUUCCACCGGGCCCCCCAAAGUUUCCCGGAGCUCAGGGCUGCG